UGAGCAACCUGCCCUUGGCUUCGGGAUAACUCCGGGAAACCGGGGCUAAUACCGGAUGUGACGCUUCCCUGCAUGGGGGGGUGUGGAAAGAUUUAUCGGCCAGGGAUGGGCUCGCGGCCUAUCAGCUUGUUGGUGGGGUGAUGGCCCACCAAGGCGACGACGGGUAGCCGGCCUGAGAGGGCGACCGGCCACACUGGGACUGAGACACGGCCCAGACUCCUACGGGAGGCA
rnacentral:rRNA from 1 species